AGACGCAAGUCGCUCCCUCUUGCAGCGCCGAGAAGCGAGUCAGGUGAGUGGCCCCGUUUGGUACUCUAUGCCUCCUCUAUUCUCCGUCUUUCGUCAAAAAGUCCCUCAAGCCUCUGACUCGGUCCUCCUCCUGUCUUCACAGUCCAGCUCCUGCUGCUCCCGUCUCUGUCCCACUUAGAGCGGACAGAAAACACACAGAGAGAAAAGGGGGAUUGUCUUCUAUUGUUACUCCAACAAUCAAAGUUCAGGAAAUCAAUAGCAGACUUGUCCCUCACCAUUUAUCUCUCUUCUGAAAAGUUGCCUUCCUCUCUGCCUUCUUUCAAGCAGUCGGUCUGGAGGAAGAGGGGAGAGGAGGGGUUGUCGUGGAGAGUGGCCCGCUGCAGGAUGUUGGCUGAAGUGAAGAGGAAGCUACAAACAUCCACACUGCUCACCACGAGAGCGAGGAACGAUCUCUGAUACGUUUUGCUCCCUCCCUUUUCACUCUCUCCCUUUUUCUCUGUCAAUUUCUCGUUAUCUCUAUCUGAAGUUUAAGUUUUCUGUUUCGGUCGUUGUAAUUAGCAAUAGUGCGACAAACAAGAUUUAACAUGUAUUUCAAAAAGGUAGAAAUAAAAUAAUUGACACAAUAAAUUUGUAAAGUUUUCCAAUCCUCUGUAAUAAAAUGUUUUAAACUC